rnacentral:rRNA from 1 species
UUAAGUUAUUAAGGGCGCACGGUGGAUGCCUUGGCACUAGAAGCCGAUGAAGGACGUUACUAACGACGAUAUGCUUUGGGGAGCUGUAAGUAAGCUUUGAUCCAGAGAUUUCCGAAUGGGGAAACCCAGCAUGAGUUAUGUCAUGUUAUCGAUAUGUGAAUACAUAGCAUAUCAGAAGGCACACCCGGAGAACUGAAACAUCUUAGUACCCGGAGGAAGAGAAAGAAAAUUCGAUUCCCUUAGUAGCGGCGAGCGAAACGGGAAGAGCCCAAACCAACAAGCUUGCUUGUUGGGGUUGUAGGACACUCUAUACGGAGUUACAAAGGACGACAUUAGACGAAUCAUCUGGAAAGAUGAAUCAAAGAAGGUAAUAAUCCUGUAGUCGAAAAUGUUGUCUCUCUUGAGUGGAUCCUGAGUACGACGGAGCACGUGAAAUUCCGUCGGAAUCUGGGAGGACCAUCUCCUAAGGCUAAAUACUCUCUAGUGACCGAUAGUGAACCAGUACCGUGAGGGAAAGGUGAAAAGCACCCCGGAAGGGGAGUGAAAUAGAACCUGAAACCGUGUGCUUACAAGUAGUCAGAGCCCGUUAAUGGGUGAUGGCGUGCCUUUUGUAGAAUGAACCGGCGAGUUACGAUUUGAUGCAAGGUUAAGCAGUAAAUGUGGAGCCGUAGCGAAAGCGAGUCUGAAUAGGGCGUUUAGUAUUUGGUCGUAGACCCGAAACCAGGUGAUCUACCCUUGGUCAGGUUGAAGUUCAGGUAACACUGAAUGGAGGACCGAACCGACUUACGUUGAAAAGUGAGCGGAUGAACUGAGGGUAGCGGAGAAAUUCCAAUCGAACCUGGAGAUAGCUGGUUCUCUCCGAAAUAGCUUUAGGGCUAGCCUCAAGUGAUGAUUAUUGGAGGUAGAGCACUGUUUGGACGAGGGGCCCCUCUCGGGUUACCGAAUUCAGACAAACUCCGAAUGCCAAUUAAUUUAACUUGGGAGUCAGAACAUGGGUGAUAAGGUCCGUGUUCGAAAGGGAAACAGCCCAGACCACCAGCUAAGGUCCCAAAAUAUAUGUUAAGUGGAAAAGGAUGUGGCGUUGCCCAGACAACUAGGAUGUUGGCUUAGAAGCAGCCAUCAUUUAAAGAGUGCGUAAUAGCUCACUAGUCGAGUGACACUGCGCCGAAAAUGUACCGGGGCUAAACAUAUUACCGAAGCUGUGGAUUGUCCUUUGGACAAUGGUAGGAGAGCGUUCUAAGGGCGUUGAAGCAUGAUCGUAAGGACAUGUGGAGCGCUUAGAAGUGAGAAUGCCGGUGUGAGUAGCGAAAGACGGGUGAGAAUCCCGUCCACCGAUUGACUAAGGUUUCCAGAGGAAGGCUCGUCCGCUCUGGGUUAGUCGGGUCCUAAGCUGAGGCCGACAGGCGUAGGCGAUGGAUAACAGGUUGAUAUUCCUGUACCACCUAUAAUCGUUUUAAUCGAUGGGGGGACGCAGUAGGAUAGGCGAAGCGUGCGAUUGGAUUGCACGUCUAAGCAGUAAGGCUGAGUAUUAGGCAAAUCCGGUACUCGUUAAGGCUGAGCUGUGAUGGGGAGAAGACAUUGUGUCUUCGAGUCGUUGAUUUCACACUGCCGAGAAAAGCCUCUAGAUAGAAAAUAGGUGCCCGUACCGCAAACCGACACAGGUAGUCAAGAUGAGAAUUCUAAGGUGAGCGAGCGAACUCUCGUUAAGGAACUCGGCAAAAUGACCCCGUAACUUCGGGAGAAGGGGUGCUCUUUAGGGUUAACGCCCAGAAGAGCCGCAGUGAAUAGGCCCAAGCGACUGUUUAUCAAAAACACAGGUCUCUGCUAAACCGUAAGGUGAUGUAUAGGGGCUGACGCCUGCCCGGUGCUGGAAGGUUAAGAGGAGUGGUUAGCUUCUGCGAAGCUACGAAUCGAAGCCCCAGUAAACGGCGGCCGUAACUAUAACGGUCCUAAGGUAGCGAAAUUCCUUGUCGGGUAAGUUCCGACCCGCACGAAAGGCGUAACGAUUUGGGCACUGUCUCAACGAGAGACUCGGUGAAAUCAUAGUACCUGUGAAGAUGCAGGUUACCCGCGACAGGACGGAAAGACCCCGUGGAGCUUUACUGUAGCCUGAUAUUGAAAUUCGGCACAGCUUGUACAGGAUAGGUAGGAUCCUUUGAAACGUGAGCGCUAGCUUACGUGGAGGCGCUGGUGGGAUACUACCCUAGCUGUGUUGGCUUUCUAACCCGCACCACUUAUCGUGGUGGGAGACAGUGUCAGGCGGGCAGUUUGACUGGGGCGGUCGCCUCCUAAAAGGUAACGGAGGCGCUCAAAGGUUCCCUCAGAAUGGUUGGAAAUCAUUCAUAGAGUGUAAAGGCAUAAGGGAGCUUGACUGCGAGACCUACAAGACGAGCAGGGUCGAAAGACGGACUUAGUGAUCCGGUGGUUCCGCAUGGAAGGGCCAUCGCUCAACGGAUAAAAGCUACCCCGGGGAUAACAGGCUUAUCUCCCCCAAGAGUUCACAUCGACGGGGAGGUUUGGCACCUCGAUGUCGGCUCAUCGCAUCCUGGGGCUGUAGUCGGUCCCAAGGGUUGGGCUGUUCGCCCAUUAAAGCGGUACGCGAGCUGGGUUCAGAACGUCGUGAGACAGUUCGGUCCCUAUCCGUCGUGGGCGUAGGAAAUUUGAGAGGAGCUGUCCUUAGUACGAGAGGACCGGGAUGGACAUACCUCUGGUGUACCAGUUGUCGUGCCAACGGCAUAGCUGGGUAGCUAUGUGUGGACGGGAUAAGUGCUGAAAGCAUCUAAGCAUGAAGCCCCCCUCAAGAUGAGAUUUCCCAACUUCGGUUAUAAGAUCCCUCAAAGAUGAUGAGGUUAAUAGGUUCGAGGUGGAAGCAUGGUGACAUGUGGAGCUGACGAAUACUAAUCGAUCGAAGACUUAAUCAA